UGCAUGUAUAACAUUUGUCCUGAAUCCAAUGCAUUGCAGAGAAUACAGACAAAUACCCCAUAUUGAGACGUAUGUAAGACGUUCUCUAUUGAACACACACACACAUAAA